CUAAUGGAGUCCAGCCCGAUAGAGAAACCUAACCCUCUCAACCAGCUUUCCCUCAGAAUUAAGGGUUCAUCCCGUUUUUUUUUUUCCUCUGAUGGGUUUCGUUCGCGUCGUUUCAUUUUCUUUUUAGUCAAGCGAAACGCUUCAAUCUAAAGAUUCAUCGCAAGGCAGUCUGAGUAUAAAAAGUUCCGUAGAUGUUCUUCCACUGCUGACGUUAGAUUGCUAUCCCAUCCACCCAACCAACAAGAUUCCGAUAGGAAACGAACCGGGAGGAACUCGAACAAUGCGCUUCUGCGGUUUCCUCAGGUGUGAAGCUCAUAGCUCAGAAUCAUCACGGGAAAAGAAGAACCCAGUUCAGGUAACGUUAUCAAGGCUAGACGAGUUUGAUUUGUUGCUAUUAAAGGGUAUGUUGAUGAUUUGGACUUUAAGGGAAGAUUACUAGACGAGUUUGAUUCGUUGCAGAGACGAGCUGUGAACUUAGACACCGUAUAUGCUAAGGUUAGUAAGAUGAUGCCGGAAUCAGGGUUUGCACCAGAGGAUGCUGAUAGGUUUGUGGCUUUGUUUAGCGGUGGAUGGCUGAGAAUCUCACUUGGAAUGUUCUGCAUUUAGAAGCCUAAUGUGAACUGUGUGUUUAUGUCAGUAGUAUCAGAUUUUCUGCUAUUUAACGAGCCUAAAAGCCAUUUGGAUCUUGAUACUAUUGAAUGGCUUGGAGGCUAUUUGCAAUAUCAAGAGGUGCCUAUGCUUAUAACUUCAAAUGUUCCUUGAUCAGUUGGGCACCUAAACUGUGGAAACCAAGAUGGGUCUUUCAAGGACAUUCGAGGGAAACUACUCUCAGUAUGUGAACUCAAAGGUGGAGUGGUUUGAAACUCAGAAUGCAGCUUGGGAAAACAGCAGAAAGAGAUUGAAUCAAAGGAGGACUUAAUCGCUAGGCUUGGUGCGGGUGCAAACCCUGGCUGUGCUUCUACUGCUCUGCUGAAAAGAAACAAGAGAAGGUGCUAACAUGACCUACUUGAUAAGCAAUUUCAGCGAAUGCAGAUGAAAAUUAGGUUUCCAGAGCGUGGAACAAGUGGAAGAUCAGUAGUCAUGGUUAAAAACAUUGAUUUAGAUUUCAGGGAUAAAGUGAGUUGGUGUAAUCAAAGCCUUGCUUUAUUAUAAAGUAAUCCUACUAUAUAAAAGAGACUAAUUUAGAACUCAAUUAGAGGUGCCAUGUAGGAUGAAAUAUUCUCAUCCAAUCAUUCCUCCACGUCAUUACGAAUUUAAUUGUUCAAAAAAUUUCUUUAUUGUUGUUGUG